rnacentral:tRNA from 1 species
CCCCUGGUGAUCCAGUGGUUAAGACUCUGCAUUUCCAAUGCAGUGGGUGCAGGUUUGAUCCUCACUCAGGGAA